rnacentral:rRNA from 1 species
GCAAUUAAAGGAGCAAUUCGCUAUAGGAUGGACCCGCGGCGCAUCAGCUAGUUGGUGAGGUAACGGCUCACCAAGGCGAUGAUGCGUAGCCGACCUGAGAGGGUGAUCGGCCUCAUUGGGAAUGAGACACGGCCCAGACUCCUACGGGAGGCAGCAGUGGGGAAUAUUGCACAAUGGGGGAAACCCUGAUGCAGCAACGUCGCGUGAGUGAUGACUGUCUUCGGAUUGUAAAGCUCUGUCUUCAGGGACGAUAAUGACGGUACUUGAGGAGGAAGCCACGGCUAAUUACGUGCCAGCAGCCGCGGUAAUACGUAGGUGGCAAGCGUUGUCCGGAUUUACUGGGCGUAAAGGGAGCGUAGGCGGACUUUUAAUUGGGAUGUGAAAUACCCGGGCUCAACCUGGGUGCUGCUUUCCAAACUUGAAGUCUAGAGUACAGGAGGGGAAAGCGGAAUUCCUAGUGUAGCGGUGAAAUGCGUAGAGAUUAGGAAGACCACCGGUGGCGAAGGCGGCUUUCUGUACUGUAACUGACGCUGAGGCUCGAAAGCGUGGGUAGCGACCAGGAUUGGAUCCCCUGGUAGUCCACGCCGUGAUGGAUGAAUAGUAGGUGUAGGGGUUGUCAUGACCUCUGGGGCCGGCCGCUAACGCAUUAAGUAUUCUGCCUGGGGGGUGCGGUUGCAAGAUUAAAAUUCUAAGGAAUUGACGGGGGCCCGCGCAAGCAGAGGAGCAUGUGGUUUAAUUUGAAGCAACGCGAAGAGCCUUACCUAGACUUGACAUCUCCUGCAUUACCCUGAAUCGGGGAAGUUCUUUCGGGGACAGGAAGACAGGUGGUGCAUGGUUGUCGUCAGCUCGUGUCGUGAGAUGUUGGGUUAAGUCCCGCAACGAGCGCAACCCCUAUUGUUAGUUGCCAUCAUUAAGUUGGGCACUCUAGCGAGACUGCCCGGGUUAACUGGGAGGAAGGUGGGGAGGAUGUCAAAUCAUCAUGCCCCUUAUGUGUAGGGGUACACACGUGCUACAAUGGGUGGUACAAAGAGAUGUUAAACCGCGAGGGGGAGCCAACACUAUAAAACCAGUCUCAGU